UACGUAGGGGUCAAGCGUUGUCCGGAUUUAUUGGGCGUAAAGAGCUCGUAGGUGGUUCGGUAAGUCGGAUGUGAAAUCUCCAGGCUCAACCUGGAGGGGUCAUUCGAUACUGCCGUGACUAGAGGUCGGUAGGGGAGUGUGGAAUUCCUGGUGGAGCGGUGAAAUGCGCAGAUAUCAGGAAGAACACCCGUGGCGAAGGCGGUUCUCUGGGACGGUACUGACGCUGAGACGCGAAAGCGUGGGGAGCGAACAGG
rnacentral:rRNA from 1 species